AGCCAUCGGAAACGGUGGGGCAGGCCGGUGGGGAGAAUCUGGGAAGCCGGUGAGACUCCGGCACAGGCCCGCUGCGGUGAACCGAGCCCGCUCACGACGAGCAGGGACCCGGCAAGUCCGAAGACCGGCCUCGCGCCCGAGCACUUG
rnacentral:ncRNA from 2 species